GCGUCGGUGGUGUAAUGGUAGCACGCGCCCCUGCUAUGGGCAAAACGCGGGUUUCAACUCCGCCUGACGUC